GCCGUGGUGGUGGAAUUGGUAGACACGCCAUCUUGAGGGGGUGGUGAGCUAUGCUCGUGCGGGUUCAAGUCCCGCCCACGGCACCA
rnacentral:tRNA from 4 species